UAAGGCGUCACUUCGCAAACACUUUCACACAUUCUUUUGGCUACCGUGAACAAUGCGGCCAAAACCUGCAGCGCUGUGGCGUAACCCGUUUUGGAGCCGGGCACGAACCUCAGCGCUUCAUGGGCAAGUGGUGCCCAAAAGCAUUCUGGGCGGCUGUUUUGUCACCAUAAUGUUGUGAGAAAGCUGUGCAGAGCUCACAGAAAUACCAUUCGGAGCGCUUUUACAUUAGAUUUCCUUUCAGCAAGGAGCCAGGUGGCCAUUGGAAAAGUGAGUGGUCAGCAGUGCGUGCACCUUUAAAGCAAAGCUCUCCCAGCUCUCUGUGCUCCCUGCAGAGCACUGGGGCUUUAGUGAGAACUGCACCUCACACUUUGGCCUGCUCCUUGCUGCUGGCUCUGUGUGAACAAUUUGGGGAUGCACCAACAAACUUCCAGCUUGAAAUAAGCACACCGAGUCAGGCUAGUCUGUGGGAUCUGCUCUCACUUUAGAUGCUGAGCUACUCUCAAAUGUUAAGAAAUUGUAAUUUUAAAAGAAAACACUUCUCAGCAGGAACCCGAACCCUCAUGUAGCUGGGAUGAUGAAGCACUGAAACAGUAAUAUUCAGUGGGAUGCAGCAAAGGCAAGCUGAAAUUAAUCAGAAAACCACUGGAAACUUAAGUUCAGCUCAGGGCCAUGAUCAGCAGCAUGCCAAUGAGCACACAGGUUCAGGCUGUGAUCGUCACUGAAUCUGAAACCACGGAAGUUUUAACAUGCUAGUGACUGGAUUGCUACUAUUUAGCUUCCUGAGCCCUGUUUCAGAGUACGUAUUCUUUUAGUUGACUCACCUCCAAAAGCGCACCAGUUUUUGGUUUUACAUAAGCUCGAAUGUAAUUCAUUGGCCAUGGGAGGUCUUGAGUCAAGUUGAUUGAUACACAGAGGUGAGAACAGAACUGGCCAGUCUGUGCCCCUUGAGCUGCUUGUAGCUAACGAUUUAAGUACAACUCAUGUGUUGGCUCCUGGGGGGCCUGUGGCAUAAUCUCUGCUCUCAGAAGGAGUGAGUCAGCCAGAGCCUGCAAGGCCAAUAUUACUGGAUUUCUCUGGCCUCUGGAUGUUCAUGUAGCUGAGCUUCAUUCCUCAGGUGACUUCUGCAAGGCUAUGUCAUCACUGAGCUCGCUGAACUGUUCCUGUAGCCUCGCUAGCUCCAGAAAAGGAUAGGCAUCUUGAGGCUCUCAACACAAUGAGAUUUUUGGUAUAGAGUUUGGAGGGCUGAGGAGAUCAGACAUUCUGGGAAAAGACUGUAAAGUAGUCUGAUAGGUUAUGUUUCUAAGUGGUAUCUUUUCCUCAACCACAGUAAAUUCUUUUCCAAGCCAUAUGAUCAUCAAAUUAUCCCCCCCCCUCCAAAAAAAAAAAAAAAAAAAAAAGAAAA